rnacentral:rRNA from 1 species
CAGCAGCCGCGGGAAUACGGAGGGAGCUAGCGUUGUUCGGAAUCACUGGGCGUAAAGCGCACGUAGGCGGCUAUUCAAGUCAGGGGUGAAAGCCCGGGGCUCAACCCCGGAACUGCCUUUGAAACUAGAUAGCUUGAAUCUUGGAGAGGCGAGUGGAAUUCCGAGUGUAGAGGUGAAAUUCGUAGAUAUUCGGAAGAACACCAGUGGCGAAGGCGACUCGCUGGACAAGUAUUGACGCUGAGGUGCGAAAGCGUGGGGAGCGAACAGGAUUAGAUACCCCCGUAGUCCCUGUCUCUUAUAA